GACGAACGCUGGCGGCGUGCCUAAUACAUGCAAGUAGAACGCACAGUUUAUACCGUAGCUUGCUACACCAUAGACUGCGAGUUGCGAACGGGUGAGUAACGCGUAGGUAACCUGCCUGGUAGCGGGGGAUAACUAUUGGAAACGAUAGCUAAUACCGCAUAAUAUUAAUUAUUGCAUGAUAAUUAAUUGAAAGGUGCAAUUGCACCACUACCAGAUGGACCUGCGUUGUAUUAGCUAGUAGGUGAGGUAACGGCUCACCUAGGCGAAGAUACAUAGCCGACCUGAGAAGGUGAUCGGCCACACUGGGAAUGAGAAACGGCCCAGACUCCUACGGGAGGCAGCAGUAGGGAAUCUUCGGAAAUGGACGAAAGUCUGACCGAGCAAAGCCGCGUGGGUGAAGAAGGUUUUCGGAUCGUAAAGCUCUGUUGUAAGAGAAGAACGGGUGUGAGAGUGGAAAGUUCACACUGUGACGGUAUCUUACCAGAAAGGGACGGCUAACUACGUG
rnacentral:rRNA from 1 species